UACGGGGGGAGCAAGCGUUGUUCGGAUUUACUGGGCGUAAAGGGCGCGUAGGCGGUCGUGACGAGUCACUUGUGAAAUCUCCGGGCUUAACUCGGAACGGUCAAGUGAUACUGUCGGACUAGAGUACAGAAGGGGCAACUGGAAUUCUCGGUGUAGCGGUGAAAUGCGUAGAUAUCGAGAGGGACACCUGCGGCGAAGGCGGGUUGCUGGGCUGAUACUGACGCUGAGGCGCGAAAGCCAGGGGAGCGAACGGG
rnacentral:rRNA from 1 species